rnacentral:rRNA from 1 species
CAAACCAAAGCUGGCGACCGGCGCACGGGUGAGUAACACGUAUCCAACCUGCCUCAUACUCGGGGAUAGCCUUUCGAAAGAAAGAUUAAUAUCCGAUAGCAUAUAUUUCCCGCAUGGGUUUUAUAUUAAAGAAAUUCGGUAUGAGAUGGGGAUGCGUUCCAUUAGUUUGUUGGGGGGGUAACGGCCCACCAAGACUACGAUGGAUAGGGGUUCUGAGAGGAAGGUCCCCCACAUCGGAACUGAGACACGGUCCAA